GUCCGGAAGAGCCAGUGCAACUGAGGCCCGACCUGGUGGCCACCUUCUGGCAUCUGCGGUGUUGCUGCGGCUGAGGGGGCGGGCGGACGCGCUCCGUCCCACCCCACCCAGACCCCUGUGGCAUGUAGCUCUCCGUCUAUUAAACUUACAGAGGGUUUUGUAGAUCAAAGUUUAAGAAGAGCUGGACAAAAUAACGACUUCCUACCAUCAUAUUCUUUGAGUCUAAGGCAGAGAUACCGUGCCCUGCUAAAACGUCUUGCGUACCAAGUAGAACACAAUGUCUGGUCCAUGAAAGUGGAACACUACCGGAAAGGAGGCUGGUGCUUGUGCUGAGCCGCCUUCAGCAGCUCCACGUCCCACAUUGCUGAUGAGUGAGAGCCUCUGUUAUAAAUGGAAACGUGAACUGGCAAGUGCUCACCGGCUAACGCUGAACCCACCAGCUUAUUUUGCUACCUAUUAUGUACGUGAUCUGCGAUUUUGCUUAUUGAUUGCAAAUAUGCACGAGGAAUAGGAAGCUGGCGUGUUUUCCCAAAACGAGACGGAGCGUUUUCGCUGCUGCGUGUCUCAACCGGGUAUGGCUUCGACUUUUCAUCAUUUCUCUGAGGUCAGAAACAGCCUUUGGUGGGGUUCUAAUUUUUUUUUUUUUUUUUUUUUUAUAGAAGUUUGGCUCCCGAGACUGUUUCAGAGCCUUUAGGAAAGAUAUCAAGUGGACGAGACAUGUCUGAAAAUAUUUAAAGUGGCGAUUUCCUAGGCCCUCUUUCUCCACUUUCUCCGUAGGCAUCUGUUCCCAUAUGUGGAGGUUUAAGUCAGCCUCUAUCUACAGAUGACCCUUGUCUGACCUCACUCUCUGGAAUGCUCUGCCUGCCUCUGUCUUUCAUGCCAGAGCACAUCAACACUACCUUCUGUUGGCAUUCCUGAUAGGAUCUCUUUCUCCUGAGCUCUUGAAAGAAUCCUGCUUCAGCAACUCUAGAGAAUGGUGGGAGAGUUGGUCUUUAAAAACAGAUUUAUCCCAUACCAAGGACAAGAAUCACUUAUUUUGCACCACUGUGUGCAUUGACUCUUCUUUUCUCCCAAUCCAUGAACAUAGUAUAGAUUCUUAGGUCCCCUUGACCCAGGAAUGCAGUUUCCCAUGCCUACAUAGGCCAAGUCCUUCUGUUCUCAGAGAUUCUAAUUACAUUAGCCUGUGUAUUUCCUUUAAAACGGUUAUCACAACCUAAAAUUACCUUGUUUAUUUGCUUACAUAUUCACUGUCUAUCUCUUCUAUCUAGAAAGUAAACUCCAUGAGGGCAGGGUAUUUUUUUUUAAAGAAAAGUCUUUUUUUAAUUAUUUCUUUAUUUUUAGAGAGA